rnacentral:rRNA from 1 species
AUUGAACGCUGGUGGCAUGCUUAACACAUGCAAGUCGAACGGUAACAGGCUACGACAAUCCCUUCGGGGUGCGUCAUGCGCUGACGAGUGGCGGACGGGUGAGUAAUGCGUAGGAAUCUGCCCAGUAGCGGGGGACAACUCGGAGAAAUCCGAGCUAAUACCGCAUAAGCCUUACGAGGGAAAGAUGGCCUCUUCUUGAAAGCUAUCGCUAUUGGAUGAGCCUACGUCGGAUUAGCUUGUUGGUGGGGUAAUGGCCUACCAAGGCGACGAUCCGUAGCUGGUCUGAGAGGAUGAUCAGCCACACUGGGACUGAGACACGGCCCAGACUCCUACGGGAGGCAGCAGUGGGGAAUAUUGGACAAUGGGGGCAACCCUGAUCCAGCAAUGCCGCGUGUGUGAAGAAGGCCCUCGGGUUGUAAAGCACUUUCAAUGAGAAGAAG